AGGCGAGGCCGAAAGGCGUAGUCGAUGGGAAACGGGUUAAUAUUCCCGUACUUGGUGUUACUGCGAAGGGGGGACGGAGAAGGCUAUGUUGGCCGGGCGACGGUUGUCCCGGUUUAAGCGUGUAGGUGUGUGUUCCAGGUAAAUCCGGUUCACUUUAACACUGAGGCGUGACGACGAGGCACUACGGUGCUGAAGCAACAAAUGCCCUGCUUCCAGGAAAAGCCUCUAAGCAUCAGGUAACAUCAAAUCGUACCCCAAACCGACACAGGUGGUCAGGUAGAGAAUACCAAGGCGCUUGAGAGAACUCGGGUGAAGGAACUAGGCAAAAUGGUGCCGUAACUUCGGGAGAAGGCACGCUGACACGUAGGUGAAGUGAUUUACUCAUGGAGCUGAAGUCAGUCGAAGAUACCAGCUGGCUGCAACUGUUUAUUAAAAACACAGCACUGUGCAAACACGAAAGUGGACGUAUACGGUGUGACGCCUGCCCGGUGCCGGAAGGUUAAUUGAUGGGGUCAGCGCAAGCGAAGCUCCUGAUCGAAGCCCCGGUAAACGGCGGCCGUAACUAUAACGGUCCUAAGGUAGCGAAAUUCCUUGUCGGGUAAGUUCCGACCUGCACGAAUGGCGUAAUGAUGGCCAGGCUGUCUCCACCCGAGACUCAGUGAAAUUGAACUCGCUGUGAAGAUGCAGUGUACCCGCGGCAAGACGGAAAGACCCCGUGAACCUUUACUAUAGCUUGACACUGAACAUUGAGCCUUGAUGUGUAGGAUAGGUGGGAGGCUUUGAAGUGUGGACGCCAGUCUGCAUGGAGCCGACCUUGAAAUACCACCCUUUAAUGUUUGAUGUUCUAACGUGGACCCGUAAUCCGGGUUGCGGACAGUGUCUGGUGGGUAGUUUGACUGGGGCGGUCUCCUCCUAAAGAGUAACGGAGGAGCACGAAGGUUGGCUAAUCCUGGUCGGACAUCAGGAGGUUAGUGCAAUGGCAUAAGCCAGCUUGACUGCGAGCGUGACGGCGCGAGCAGGUGCGAAAGCAGGUCAUAGUGAUCCGGUGGUUCUGAAUGGAAGGGCCAUCGCUCAACGGAUAAAAGGUACUCCGGGGAUAACAGGCUGAUACCGCCCAAGAGUUCAUAUCGACGGCGGUGUUUGGCACCUCGAUGUCGGCUCAUCACAUCCUGGGGCUGAAGUAGGUCCCAAGGGUAUGGCUGUUCGCCAUUUAAAGUGGUACGCGAGCUGGGUUUAGAACGUCGUGAGACAGUUCGGUCCCUAUCUGCCGUGGGCGCUGGAGAACUGAGGGGGGCUGCUCCUAGUACGAGAGGACCGGAGUGGACGCAUCACUGGUGUUCGGGUUGUCAUGCCAAUGGCACUGCCCGGUAGCUAAAUGCGGAAGAGAUAAGUGCUGAAAGCAUCUAAGCACGAAACUUGCCCCGAGAUGAGUUCUCCCUGAGACUUAG
rnacentral:rRNA from 1 species